rnacentral:sRNA from 1 species
AGAAGCGAGGCGCGCUGGGGCGACUGGAGCGGUUCACUCGCAGGCGGCGCCAUUUUGUGCUAGGAGCCUGAUAAAACCGGCCCGGUUCUGUGGAAAGUGGGCGGCGGAGCCAGGGUCCCUGGAAUGGCGGAGACUCUGUCAGGCCUAGGUGAUUCUGGAGCGGCGGGCGCGGCGGCUCUGAGCUCCGCCUCGUCAGAGACCGGGACGCGGCGCCUCAGCGACCUGCGAGUGAUCGAUCUGCGGGCGGAGCUGAGGAAACGGAAUGUGGACUCGAGCGGCAACAAGAGCGUUUUGAUGGAGCGGCUGAAGAAGGCAAUUGAAGAUGAAGGUGGUAAUCCUGACGAAAUUGAAAUUACCUCCGAGGGAAACAAGAAAACAUCAAAGAGGUCUAGCAAAGAUAGAGGACAAAGAAACUAUAAACAAUUUAGAUACUUCAUCAUCUGACUUCACUAUAUUACAGGAAAUUGAAGAGCCAUCCCUGGAGCCAGGUACUGUUAAAUGAAAAACUUACCAGCGGGGGUUUGGAACCAUUCUAGUUUUCCACCUUCUCUAAUUUGAAUUCUUUGAUUUUUAAAAGUUACCUUACUAUAGUAUACAUUGUUCUAAAGGUUUACAAUCCAAAACCUACCAGG